rnacentral:rRNA from 1 species
AGUGAACGCUGGCGGUAGGCCUAACACAUGCAAGUCGAACGGCAGCACAGUAAGAGCUUGCUCUUACGGGUGGCGAGUGGCGGACGGGUGAGGAAUACAUCGGAAUCUACUUUUUCGUGGGGGAUCACGUAGGGAAACUUCCGCUAAUACCUCAUACUACCUACGGGUGAAAGCAUGGGUUCUUCGGACCUUGCGCGUUUGAUUGAGCCGAUUUCGGAUUAGCUAGUUGGCGGGGUAAAGGCCCACCAAGGCGACGAUCCGUUGCUGGUCUGAGAGGAUGAUCAGCCACACUGGAACUGAGACACGGUCCAGACUCCUACGGGAGGCAGCAGUGGGGAAUAUUGGACAAUGGGCGCAAGCCUGAUCCAGCCAUACCGCGUGGGUGAAGAAGGCCUUCGGGUUGUAAAGCCCUUUUGUUGGGAAAGAAAAGAAGCAGGUUAAUACCCCGCUGUUCUGACGGUACCCAAAGAAUAAGCACCGGCUAACUUCGUG